AGUCCCGUCCAUACCACCCUGAACGCGCCCGAUCUCGUAUGAUCUCGGAAGCUAAGCAGGGUCGGGCCUGGUUAGUACUUGGAUGGGAGACUAUAAUCUCUUCUACCUGGAUUCCGGUAGGAGCCUU
rnacentral:rRNA from 1 species